UACGGAGGGGGCUAGCGUUGUUCGGAAUUACUGGGCGUAAAGCGCGCGUAGGCGGAUCUGCAAGUCGGGGGUGAAAUCCCGAGGCUCAACCUCGGAACUGCCUUCGAUACUGCGGGUCUCGAGUCCGGGAGAGGUGAGUGGAGUUCCUAGUGUAGAGGUGAAAUUCGUAGAUAUAGGAAGAACACCGGUGGCGAAGGCGGCCUGCUGGGCAGUUGCUGACACUGAGGCGCGACAGCGUGGGGAGCAAACAGG
rnacentral:rRNA from 1 species